rnacentral:rRNA from 1 species
AUUGAACGCUGGCGGCAUGCCUUACACAUGCAAGUCGAACGGUAACAGGUUAAGCUGACGAGUGGCGAACGGGCGAGUAAUAUAUCGGAACGUGCCCAGUCGUGGGGGAUAACUGCUCGAAAGAGCAGCUAAUACCGCAUACGACCUGAGGGUGAAAGCGGGGGAUCGCAAGACCUCGCGCGAUUGGAGCGGCCGAUAUCAGAUUAGCUAGUUGGUGGGGUAAAAGCCUACCAAGGCAACGAUCUGUAGCUGGUCUGCGAGGACAACCAGCCACACUGGGACUGAGACGCGUCCCAGACUCCUAGAGGGGGCGGCAGUGUGGAAGUUUGGACAAGGGACGAAAGGCUGAUCCAGCAAUGCCGCGUGCGGGAAGAAGGCCUUCGGGUUGUAAACCGCUGUUGUCAGGGAAGAAAAGGUUCUGGUUAAUACCUGUGACUCAUGACGGUACCUGCAGAAUAAGCACCGGCUAACUACGUGCCAGCCGCCGCCUUAG